CGCGUGGCGCUGCUGUCUCUCUUUCCCCCCGUCUCCGUGCUGUCCCGCUGUGUCCCCGGGCUGUUGGCAGUGCUGUGUGCUCACUCCGUGCCGUGCUGUCUGUGCGGUGCCGUUCCCCUCCAGCCCGUUGUGUUGCUGCCGUUCCUUCCCUCCCCCGCUCUGUGCUGCUGCAGAGGCGCAGCUGCGAGCAGCCCGCGUGAGUGCAGUGCGCCCUGUAAUGCGAUGGGACGUGUGCGCUGUGCGUGCACUCUGCGCCUUGCAGAGCCGCCGUUUGCGGUCCAAGGAGCUGAUGAGGAGAGACACGGUGCUGGGACAGCGCUGUCCUGCUUCAUUCCGCUCAGGGUACAGCCCUUAGUUCCCUGCUGUUGGUUUGGGUAAUGCACAGAGCAGCCCUGAGCCAGCACCGCUCCCUGCACACACAGCUCGUGUUUGCACAAGCCGUGCAGGUUUGCUCGGGAUUCACGGUGUGCUGAGCUGACAGCGCAGGAGUAAAAGAUUCCAGCACCUCCACCUUUGUUUCCUUUCCUCCUCGCUGCAUCCUCUGCGACCUUUGCUGUAUUGAUUUGUGCCAGUGAUUCAAGAAGCAAAUCAUAAGUGACGCUGAGUUACGUGGUCAAGGUGGGAAAGAACAGCCUCCAAAAAUAGGGCUGGAGAGGGAAAAAUCCAGAAGAUUUCUGCAAUUCCAGUUGAAGAGUGGCUGCAGAGACCUGCCAGGAGAGGGUGGGAGUCUGUCCUGCACAGACAGGCUGUGAGCUCAGUGCCCUGCAUUGUCAGAAAUAGUUGAGGGGCUUUUGAUCCCACCAGCCAUUCCCUGCCUGAUCUGAAAAGCAGGUUGGGACUGGACAAUGGGGGAGGUUAUAUCUGUUGUAGGAAUGGAGCCCUGGUGUCCUCUGAGGUGGCUUUGGUGUCUGCUCCAUGUGGGAUUGGCCUUUGAGAGCUGGGCCUUUGGGAGUCUUGGCUUUAUGCAGCGUAUGUAACCUCCAGGCUAUGGACUAAGUCCCAUUUGUGUCAUGUAGAAUGGACUGUACUAAUAGGCUGCAGUAAGCAUUGUGAUUGAUGCAGUCAGCUCCUGGCAUUCCCGUUUUUGCUGUAAUUAAAAUCACCGGCGUGUGUGUUCACUGGGAAGACAGAUAUCAGUUAGUGAAUCUUCUCGUCCUUUUUAGAUGGGAUGUUUGUGUUUUGUAGGUAAGGAGACAGGUUCAAAAGGAUUGAACAAGUUGUUCGUGGUAAAUAGCUGUCAGGCCAGAGAUAGGGAGCAAGGACACAAUGUGAGCAGAGGGAGCCAGCGUGUUCGAGCAUAUUGUGUUGGACUGCCAGUCUUGUAUGUUGCUCACACAUAAUGUAGCCAAGUAAUUAAUUACAUUCUGGAGUAAAAUUAGGACGUGCUGGUGCUCCAUCCUUGUGAUACCCCAGUUUGAUCUUCCUUGUGCAGCCAAAGCCGUGGCUCUGCUUCCCCCUGGAAGCAUCAGGUGUGGCAUGAGGGUGACAGCUACGUUUUGUUCCACUGUGUGCACAUUGCAUCCCCAGAUGACCCUGUGCCUGAACACAAAGCAAUCUGCCUAAAAUUAAAACUGCUUCUUAGGUCCUCAGUGUGAUGCUGCCCGAAGCUUUUCGUUCAGUUCAUCUUUACAAGGUCACUGACACAGAAGAGUGCAUUCUGUGAGCGUGUUGGCCUGGAGCCUUUCAUGUAGAUGCUUUAAUGCAAUGCUUGGGAUGUGUUGUCUCUCACUGUGCUCCCUUCCUUUUUGCUCUCUCAUUUUCUCUAUUUCCCUUCCUUCCUUUUUAGCUCGGGAGCCCUCGGAUCAAUCAAUAUACUAAGGAAUAAAGCUGUCCUUUUAUCACCUUGGCGUAUGAGCGCUAAUGUAAAUGUAAUCAAUGCAUAAUGAAAAUACAAAAUUUGCAGGGUUUUUUUGUUGGAACAGUCAAGAACAGGAUCGUUCCAUUCAGAUUAAUAGUGACCGUGUGCUCUUAAUCACCAGACACAGCAAAACUGCUUCUAAACAGGAAAUCUGUCGGCAGGGCCCUGUUUGUUUGCAGCAAGCAGCUGCAAGGAGCAAACAGCUGCUGCUGAGCUCUGAGCUUGUGGCUUAAGGCAGAACCUGGGCUGUCAGAUCAGCUGGUUCAGGAUCCUCUCUGCUCCCUCCUUCCUGCCCAAUGGGAGCAGUAGGCCACAGAAGUUACCGUGUGAUCUGCUAAGUGAGGAAACCAUUCGUAAAGCCUCCUUAGCGGGGAUGUUAGGAUGGAUUAAUUAUUCUUUGUUCUGGUCUCUGAAGAUAAAGGGUAAUUGCUCUUAAUUAUGUUUAAUUGAAAAAUUGCUUCUUCUCAAAGAAUCCAAUAGCAUUAGCAGGAUUUUGUCUUCUUGCCACCUAUAGGGAGGAGAAGGACGUUCUGUAAGUUACAGCAGAGACUGACAUAAACCUAAUGGUGGCCUCAGAGAGUUUUACUGGAUUUCCAGCCUGCACUCGAGAGCUGUACUUGUGAUAGAGCAGAUCUUAGAGCGUGCCAAUGGGACAGGGCUGUGCUAAAGGCACUGAGGCAGGAGAUGCAAUUGGUGAGGCAGCUUUCAUUGCUGAUGCUGAGGGACUUUUCAUCCAGUAACCCAAGGAGCAGCUGCAGAUAAAGGAAAGGGAAAACAUUUCAACUAAACAAAAGCCCUUCAGUUUACCUGCCUGUGAAGGAGGGUCUGAAAAACAGGCAAACAAAAACCUGCAAGUCUUGAGUAACCAGCCCUUCAGGUGUGGGUCAGCACUGUCUGCCAACGAGACAAGACUGUGAUUUUUGAAUUCAGGUGAAAAAACAAAGCAUGUUUUUUACAUGGGUAGAGCAGGUCUUUGCUCUUUGCUUUUCCUUUCCUCUGCAUCCCCUUGUGCAGGGUAAGCCACAGCCCUGUCAGUACAUCUGCUUACAGUGCCGUAAUGGUGAACAACCCUUUUUCUAUGUGGCUUUGUGUUGAACUCCAGCAGCCUCGAGCGGCAUAGGAUCAGAAAUGCUUUCUGCAGAGCACUUGUCUCCCUAAUGAGAAAGACAAUGAAAAGCAUUUUCCAGCACAUCCAUCACUCUGCAGCUGCAGCGUCCUGGAGCAACCUUACAUAAGGCCUGCCUGCUGCAUGGCUCUGGCAGGGCAGUGCAGCAUGCAGGAGGAGCUGGAAUUCCCUUGCUCAGAAUAGCCAAAGAAUGACAGAUGAGGAUGAAACAGACUUGGAUGUUGGGCGGUUACUCAGUCUCAGGUUUUACUUGCAAAGUUUUGGCUUCAGCUGAAAUUGGAAGGUGACGGAGCAGUGGAGCAAGUUUCACAGGGAGGCUGUGGAAUCUUCUCCUUUGGAGAUAUUCAGAAUCCACCUGGAUGCUUUCCUGUGUCAUCUAUUGUAAUGAACCUACUUUAGCAGAGCUGUUGGACCAGUGAUCUCAGGGUCCCUUCCAGCCCCUAUAAUUCUGUGAUUCUCUGAACCAUAUGACGUUCUUGCUUGCUGUCCUGCUUGUUGACACUCACUGUUGUCCAGAGUUUGCUUCUGCACACAAUAUUUGGGUGGUCACAGCCAUUAAUCUCAGCAUAAGGAAAACAUAUCAGAAUCACUUGGAUCACAUUACCUUAAAUUCUCCAUUUGAAUGAAAUGUAGCAUCAGAUUUCUUCACUUCCUAUCUCCAUAUUUUGCUCUUUUCUAAUAGUAAUAAGCUUCCAACUCUGUGUUCUCCUUUGGUAUCAGCUUUGUGUUGUCUUCGCUCCCUGAUAUUCUUUUUCUUUUAAACCAUUAUUUGUUUAGAUUAUUUGCCCCCACGGUGAACACUCACUCUCAGGUGUUCUGUUAAUUGCAGCAAAUAUGAUAUGUUACAGAUACCUGUUUAUCUUGGCUAGGACUUGUGUGUUACUUGCUUGAAUAGAUAUGUAUACUAAGUUCAUUAAACACCCAUCCUUAAUGCCUUAGACUUGAGAAAAGACAUGUUUCAGUAGAGCUCUGUUUGUCUCCAAUUAAAGCUCAUGUAAGCAAAGCAAAUAAUUGCUGGAAUCCCUUUACUCAGAGCACCUGGAUUUCUCUCAUGGUGGAAUAAUCCAAUCUAAAUCUCACUUUGCUUGUUAAAAUUCCCAUAUUCUUUACUUUUAGGAAAUACAUGAGUGUUCCUAGUAGCGAGGUUAGGCUAUGUUAGAUCAUAUGCUGGUCACCGUGUCCAUUUGCUGUCCAGAUGUUGACUAACAUUGGUACGGAUUAGUUUUUUGCAAGUUGAGUGAGACAUUGGAAGGCAUGCCCAGUCAUUUCCAUGACAAACCAACUAGUGGGUUAGAGGAUCAGAGAGGGAUGCCACAGAUAACAGUGUGAACAGAAGUGGCUGAAGCGCUGGCGUUGAUUUCUAGGUGCUACUGAUGGAUCUUACCAUUCUUACUCACAACAUGAUGUGUCUUUUGGGUGCUUAUGAGUAAUGAGCAGAGCUAGUUUGACUAGCGUCCCUGUCCCCCAAGGCCACAGCCCUUUGAGAGAGAACAGUGUGUACCAGUGCUUUUGGCAGCCAUGCUCCCACCCUGAUGCAGUCGGUUUGGGGGGGCACGGAGCUGGCAGAGAUGACUCAUUCCGCCUCAGUGGCUCAUUGAGGAGCUGCAGGGAGAGGCUAUUUAUAACCAGACCUUUCAGGUUCAGUGCAGCAGCAUCUUCUGCAGGAGGAGGGGGCAGAAAUGGGGAUGGCACGUAAAACUUAACAGAUAUAAAUUUAUCUCCACCCCAGUGUUGUCCUUAGAGCUGUGUGGCCAUUGGUGACUUCAACCAGCCCUUUUCCCCAGGCUCAGCUGUCUGGAUGAUCUGGUCCCAGUGUAAGAUUCUGCUGAUAACUUUUCAUCUCCUCAAAGGCCAGGGAGACAGCUGUGAAUACCAUCAAUGUGAGCAGAACACGAAGUCUUCCUAGCGUAGCUCCUGAAGCAGCUGUUAUUGAUUCAUUCUGACCCACGACCAUAGCACUGUCACCUUCUCUUUUCUUUGUCCCUGUGUGUGUUUGUCCCUGGCUUACCACUAAGACAAGCUCUUUUCAUGGGUGUUUUCAAACAGUCUUUAUGCUGCCAGCAAAUCUCAUUUAGGCCUCCUGAGGUUUCUCUUGUAUACACAAGCUAACACUGUAAUUUAUAAAACUGUAGCUGUUUUUCCGAUCUUAAUGGGGACUCAUUUCAUCUUUAGGUGCUUCUGUGACUCCAUAUGCGAAACAGAGAUAAUGAUACCCCCUGGGUUAAGCACAGUGUGAUCUGCAGCUAUGAAACGCCACCUAAGUGGUAAUAUUAUUACCAGAGAUUUGUAGAACAAGGGGAAAGCAUGCUACAGAACAAAAGAGGACAGCAUGUGUAACAGACAAUAUUUACUAUGAGCACCUAGAUACCUCUUUGUAUCUGGGUAACUGUAGUCUUUAUCUUGGUGCAUAUUAGCAUACAUAAAAGUUAUUGAAUUUUAUGUUAAACUAAACUUCUUGAGGUUGUCUGUUCUCUUAACUGGCUUUUGAAUUCAAAAGGGAUCCUGCUGCAUGCAUGCUUGCUUUGUUCUUACUCUAUAUCUGCUCUGUUCUUAAAUCAGUUCAUGUCUGGAACUGAACUGUGGUUUGAAAGCUGCUUGCUCCUGUUAUUCUGCAGGCUUCCACCCAUAGCUUACACACUUCGUAUUUGGCUCUUCAUCCUUUCCUUUUCUUCUUUCUACCUCUUUCUUCCUGCUCCUUCUCCACUAAGUAGGUAAUUGAUUUCACAGUAUACAGCCACAGUGCAGUUUGAUGACUGUACGUUUCUCAGCAUCUCAUUAAUGCGAUUUAGUAGAUCUGUAGGUUUCCGUGGUGUUUUCACUUUUGUCUGUCCUGCAUCACUGAGCUGCAGACCCAGGGGCACAUUGGCCUUUUCAGCUGUGGGUUGUGCUUAUUAUCUUCAUACAGAAGCUGUACUAGAAAUAAUUCUUGCCUUCGGUUCUCACAGCCGACUCAAGGGGAGGCCUACCCUGCAUAAAACCAAACAGUGCUGUAACAGUCACUUCUUUCUCAGAGCUCAGCUAUAAGACUGUAAGGACCUGUGGAUGCGAGAUGAAUCCUGUAUGCUUCAUCACAUAAUCUGGGCUGGACCUCUGCAGGGUGACCUUAGCUACGAGAUAUGGUUUAGAAGCUAUGAGAGAUGGUUUAAUGUUUUGUUGUAGCUGUGGUAACAAGGGGACGGUUGGACUAUAGAUGAUCUUGUAGGUCCUUUCCAACCUUGGGUUUCUGUGAUUCUGUGACCUCAGGUCUCUCUCACUGCUGCCUUAUUUUUCUAUAUUUGUUUCAUUUUGAAAAAAGCAGAUUUCUGGUUCUUGUGGUUGCAAAUAAGCCUCCAAAACCUCAAAAAAAAAAAAGUGUGUGUGUAUAAACAUAUAUAUGUAGCUGAUGCUUAGGUGUUUGUUGUAGUCUUGAGAGAACGAAGUUAUUUUUCAGGGACUUGAAGUUCAUAUUUUGGGUAAUAAACUGAGAUGUGUAGUGAUUAUAAUUGUAAUGACAACUGUGCUACUUGUCUCUUUCUUCAAAAACUGUUCAGAGUAGAUAAAAUGGUUCUUAGGGGCUCUUAGUUUAUCACUUCAGCAGCUGCCUUGGCUUCCCUUUGCUGCCUUAGGCCCUGGCGAGCUCUUGUUAUACUAUGUGAAGCACUGCUGGCUCCUCUGAGUGCAGCUCGGUGUGCUCAGAGCAGACCCAAGGAAGGUUGGGUGCUGUGGCUGAAGAGCACGCAGGGAGAGGUGUCCAGGUUUGGCUCCAUGAACCCAGAGAGGGCCAGGAAGGGGAACCAAGAGUCUGCAUACGUGUCAGAGACUGAGAAGGAUUUACCUCCCCGCAUUUCCAAUUGCUUGUUUUCUAUCUGGGGAAAAUCCCUUUUGACAGCCCAGGCGGUGAGCUUCUAAUUCCUGUCUCCGGCUCAUUUUUCACUUCAAUCCCUCAGCGAACGGAUUUUAAUGCUUGAUGGAUUCAAACGAAAUUAUUUCUGUUCCUGUAGCUUUGUAAAAGCCUCUAGGGUGUGUGUGUGUGUGCACAGGGGAGGAGGGAUGGCGCUUGUUUUCGUUACACUCCAAUAAGCCUCCUCUCCAAGGGAAAUGUAUUUCAUUUAUUCAUUUAGGGAUAUCUUUUUGGUGAUUCCUCCCAUUGCUGUCCUUCUGGCCCCUUGCUCACAGGAGGGCCUGUCAAAGAUUUGCUGUUCCAAAGGGGUGCAGUGUUCCAGAGCAAUGUUUCUGUUGCAAGCAGGGAUUCCAAUAAUAGGGCCAGAGUGUGCUUCCAAGAGUAGCCUGGGGAGGGAGGAAUAACUAUGGGAAAACUUUUGUCUUCUUCAGCUCUAACUAGGAGUGAGGCAGCUCCGCAGGCUCGGGGAUGGGGUCAGUGACUGAGGUGGUGUCUUGGUAAUCAUUGGUCUUAACAUCAACGUGUUGUUUGAACAUGUGUAUAAUGCUGCUGUUGUAAUGGAGAAGUAUUGCUUUUAUUACAAUUUCGAGCCUCUUUUACCAGCAGAAAUCACUGCAGGGAACCAUGCAAGGGCUCUGCCUGCGUAAUGCUCUGUAGGCAGUCAGAACUGUCUGCUGCUUCUGCUGGGCAUCUUUCAUGGAGUUCCUGCAUCUGAGAAACUAAAUUGUACUUAAGAGCUUAAAAUCUCAUCAUUCUACCCAGGACAAAUCAUAAUUACAGUAACAAUUAACGAAGCAGUAAUUCUAAUACGUAUGGCUGUAAUCAAUCCUUAAAACCAGUGUGCUGAAGAUCUUCAUUGUGUUAUGGAGGAUUAAGGUGUUGUGUGAACCUGAUGAUGUCUCUCAGUGUAUGAAGCCAGUGCUGCUGGGGUGUGCUACGCCAUUUAAUGAGACUGUCUCCACUGGGUUGUUUCAAUUUACAGCCGCUACCAAGUUGUCACUUGCUCGGGCAAGAAAAAGAUGUAGUUCCUGGAGAUGGAAAUGUAUUGUGUGUUCUUCAUCACAUGCUGCCUUCUAGGGCAAUCUCAUGUAUCCACAGGUUCCUGUGAACAUUUGUUUGGAGCUACUGGUUUUCAUCAUAACUGCAUGCUGUGUCAGUCUCAUAGGACUCGUGGAUCCUGGGUCUACUGCUGUUGCUUGUAGGUUUGUUCUGUUUGAUGUCUCUCUUCGUAUUUUUAUACACAGAUUUCAUAUAUACAGUUUUCAGUGUAGGUACUCCAAGUCUCAUUUUUUGUUCUGUUAAAUACGUUGCUUACAGGUGAGAUGCCCUGUUUUGUUAGUGUGAUGUUCUAAUUGUUAUUAGCUUUCCCUGCAAGUGCCCCAAAUUAUACAUAAAGCACAUCUUGAAUUUUUUAUUUGUAAAUUCAGGAAUUAUUUCCUUAAUCUAGUCAACACAUUCUUGUUUUUAAUUGUAUGUUUAUUUUAAUCCUGUCAAUAGCCUCCAAGCCUUUGAACCAAGGACACUAAAUUGAAACACACGACACCAGUUUUAGCAGCAGUUUCUCCAUAACUCAUAACUGUUAUCUUAAUGCUGGUGUGUUGUUGUUGGGAUGAGGAUGAUGGAGACUCGAAGUUAUCUGUAAUGGCAGAAUGCAUCAGUACCACUGGGAAAGUAUCACAUUGGGUUGUUUUCUUUCACUUGCCUCUUUUACUUAGAUGGUGACUCUGAAACCAGUAACUCUUUCCUAUGUUGGCUGGCAUCUUUCAGCUGGAAGAUCCUUAUCAAGCCUUCCCUUACAUUUCCUACAGUACUGCCUUUUCCAUGCAUGCUGUCAGUUGCUCAGGUCUGCCAUUCAGCGUGCCUUUGGCACUGCAGAGAAUGGCUUUAGCCACUAUCUUUGGAUGCUUUCCAGUCCCCUAUUUACUCAUACAUCUAGUCCCUAUAAUCCAUUAAUGGUGAAAGGCUUAUCAGUGUAAGCUCUGAAUUUUACCUUAAUACCCUUUGCCCUCUGAUUGUUGGUUUUUUUAAUUGCAUAUCAGUCUGCUUCUAUUAUCACUCACUUGUGUCCCGUUGUCCAACUUCAUAAAUGCUACCAGCCUGAAAGGAGAUGAAAUGUUCAUUUAUUAUUGCAGUGCUGAAGCUUUUUUCCUAUGAACAGUUUCCUUGAGGUCACAACACAGUGAUUGUGUCAGUGUUGUACAAGCCCAGCUGCUGCUUACAAAUUCAUGACAUUUCCUGCAUCUAUAUGCCAAGCAUCUUCUUGGUCUAUGCUGGUUGUUGUAGUGCUUGUUUGAGUCUAUGGGAUUUUUCUCUUUGUGCUUGAUGUACUCUAUUCUUUGUACUGAACAUGAUCUAUUUCUUGUUAUAUUUUGUGUUUUUCUUGUGUUUGGAUCUACCCUAUGCCCUAUAUGGGAACAGUUGACUGCCAUAGGUUGCUUCUUUGGCCUUCUAUCAGCCUGGAAAAGUCAGAGGGAAAGGAUUCAAAUUUUCAGCACAAAUCUCAAGAGAGGCCCCUUAAGUUCCCUUUGAGAAGGUAGGAAUCAGUUUCACACAUACGUUUGUUCAGUUUUAUAUUACUUUUUUACAUUCAUCUAAAAACAUUCCUCACUUCCCUUUUCCAAGCAGUGCUCUGUCUCAUCACGUCAACAGAUGUUUAAGGGGUUUUCACAGUCUCAGUUGACUGGAACAUCUUAAGUGUUUCAAAUGUCUCAAAAUGAUCAAAAUUGAGCAUAAUGAAAACAUAAAGCUUCCUUCUGAUUUGCCUGCCUUUUUUUCUGACACAUGUGGCUUUCAGAUAAACACGGACUUGUAGCGUAUACACAUACAGUUGAAUAUUCUCCUAGUUGCAUUCUGCGUUUCCAGACUUUCAGCUCUUCUGGGCAUCUUCCUGGCUUUUUUUUCCAUUCAAACAUUCUCUGGCAUCUUUUUACUUCCAAUAUCACAUGGCAUUCCUUAAUUCCUCUGCACCCAAAAUACUUUAAAAAUUAUUCCUUAUUAACAAGAGUUUUCCAGCUGUCUCUUCUUAACAGAACAAAGGCUUUCGCUGUACCUGUGAGUCUGGGCAACUCAGCCACCUGAAGGUAUGGUUGUGAUGGCUGUGGCCUGGGAGGGAACACUCUCCAGGCACAUCCCUGUCAGUAUAAAAGGUAUUGGGUGGGAAUGCAGAGGGGUCAGUCCCCAGGUCUUUCCUUAAGGAGUUUUCCUCAAAAGUAAGAAGGAUAUUCUUGAAUAUAUUGACCUACAGUCAGUAUGAUUGGCUCGAUUACCAUAUACUACAAAAUGAUAUUCCUGUAGGACAGAUUGAAAGCUGGCAGGUAACGAUUCCCACGAGAGCUGCAGGGAAGUGGGCCUGGACUUGUAGCAGAAAUACCCCCAGGACACCACCCGCAAGAGAAAAACGUGCAGUCUCCAGAAAAUAAAACUAGUAAGACACAGUUUAUUUAAACAGCAUUCAGAGCUGUGGUGUUGCUUCUUGGCCAGUGCACAGGUAGCAGCAGCUGAGCAACAAAUACCUUGUGUUUAAAUUCAAUUCUCACUUUUCUGAGGAAAGCCAGUGCAGCUGCAUAGGUGUAAAUGAGCAGAUGCUUUCUAUGUUUGCAGAGACACCUGCUGUCAGUGUGCACAGUGCUGAGCAAGAGAAGCUCUUCUCCUUGUUUCCUGUCUUUUGCUGCUCUGGACUGCAAUCUCUGCAGAACUUGUAGUUGCUAUUAUUAUUAUUAUUACUAUUAGUGAUACUGCAGAUCUUCCCCCCUUCCUCCAUGAAGCUGUUUCUGCCAGGUCCUUUUCUGCUGCAUUUCAUUACAGCCAAGAAGAUGGCUUUGACGUAUGCAUUCCUGCAGCUCUCUGCUAAGUCCUAAUCUUUCUAAUAGCUGGAGGUUUUCAGUUUGUCUUUUAUUAAUAUUCUGUCCUAAUUGUAAAGCACUUCAGCGAUAUCCAGAAGCCUGUCUUAUAUAACAGCCUUAUCCAUACUUGAGUCCUUCAGAGCUGGAGUGUCGAGAAAAGACUCCGUUUGAUCUGCAUAGUCUGUCGUUAGCCCUCAUGACUUUAAUGCACAAAGCUGUUAGAAAUUAACAAUACAUUUCAAGUAUUUUUAAACAUUUGACUUUACUAGAAAGAGUAUGACGUGCUGCCAUGCACAGUUCUGAGUGGUGGAGUUAGAAAAGUCUCUGUAAAGUCUUCUAGGAGCCUUGUUAUGCAGCUCUAAAUGAGCUGGAAAGUGGAAGAAGCUAUAGGAUAAUUAAAAUGUUUCAUAAAGCUCCAUUAUUAAUCAGAUUCUAUGCAUUAGGGUGUUUUUUGUUUGUUUUUUUUUUUUUUAAGCCAGGCUAAUAGAUGUGAGAACCUAAAAACUGGGAACUGCUUUUUUCCUUACUGUGGAUAUCCCAGACAGUCGCUAUCAUUCAAACUAAUUACUUAAGCUAUUAAUAAGGAUGCUUUGUAUUUUUUAAAUGAUAAAAAUUAAACAAUCUCAGUCAGAAAAGAAAGCAAAGGUUCUUUACCCGAUGACCAGGGAUCCAUGCAACGCAGCUGAAGAGCUCACCUGUCCACAAUAAGCAGCUGUAAUCCUGUGAUCCAGGUCCCACUUCAGAAAGAGAUCAUUCCCUUCCAUCUCUCAUUUAUUGUGACUGUACAUAGACUGUACAUAGCCUGCACAGGCUCUUGAACAGGUUUGCUAUUACCUAGGAGAGCUAAGAUCAUCUGCAAGUGGAAAAAUAAUUACUCUGAGUAUUCCUUUGCUGGUCACUCUUUGGCUAACUGUCUUUUUUGACUUGAGACCAUCAGAGAGAAGCACUGCUUUCACUGCUGAAACCACAUCAAUCUUGCUUCAAUGGUUUAAAUGGUAUUUUCUUCUAGAAAUUGCACCCGGACCUCCACCUAAAUGAGCUUCCUGCCUGCCUUGUGCUUUACCUCCACCUGCACAGCAAUGCCUUCUACAUGGAUGUGACUGUGAAGAGCUGAUCAUAGUUUGGCAAAGGAGAUUUCUGAUUUGAAAGAGGUGACAUUUGCCAACUGCAGGCACAUAAAACUGCAAAGCUAAGCCAGCUAAACCAGCUUAAUUGAUUGUGUUGCUGGCUGUGUGAACCAGGAGACUGUGAGACUCAAAAGUGGCACGAGGGAAGCAAACAGGGUAAGGAGUAAUGCCAGGAAAGGAGUAUUCAUUUUUAGCAAGUCUGGAACAGGGAAGGCCCAGUCUCUGGGCUGUGGCCAUACCUGCUCAUAUAGGAAGCUCAUAUGUAUUUGUCCCAUUGAGCAGCAGGGUGUCCACUGUAUCUUCUUCCAUGUUAUGUCAUUUGGAAGGCAAGGAAUGGAUUAGGGCAUCACCUCUGUGCUCUCCAGCUCUGACAGCUGUGUACUGACAGAGUGGAGCUGUAAGCGUGCUGAUCCGUGGCCUCAUGGAGCAUUGUAGUGCAGUGGUCUCUUGCUUCCUUCUGGAAACCUUCCCCUCCCCUGCAGUGAUGCUUGCUGUAACCUAGUCUGCCUACAGCCCAGUCCUGUCUCUGGUGAGCCCUUUGUUUUCAUGCUGUAAUGUGUAGUAAGCUUCACUUUUUUUCCUGCCCAUUCUCUUCCUCACCUCUGUUAUCUUGCUCCCUUCCCUCUUCCUUCCAGUAGUUCGUUCUUCCCAUCUUCCUGGGGACUGUUCUUUUGUUCCAUCCUCCUUUCCCAUUCCUGUAGCUUUAUUACAGGAUCACACUUCAGCUUUUCCCCCUUCAAAACUAUCUGACUGCAGAAUGUGACCUCGGGUCCAUCUGCCCAUCUCCUCCUGACAAUCACAAAGGGAAGUUCUCUGCUUGCAAUCAGGAUUUGAACACUGAGAUUACAGCAAGAACCAUAAUGCCUUUGUAGUGCUGUUGGGAUUAUUCCUCUCCCAUGGAGUAAACCCUGAAGAGCAACACCAAGUCUUCAAGCAAACAGAAUCUCCAGCUGUCAGUGCUUCUGCUUCCUCUGGAGGCAGACACGCUCCUGUCCAAACACAAUAUGCUGGCAGACUGAUACUUGGCAUCUUUGUCUAUUGAGACAUGCCAUGUUUCUGGAACCUUUUAUAAGUGAUAGAAAGAUAAUAAAGGGAGAGGUAGGCCAUAAA